rnacentral:misc_RNA from 1 species
GAUGAAGAACGCAGCGAAAUGCGAUAAGUAAUGUGAAUUGCAGAAUUCAGUGAAUCAUCGAAUCUUUGAACGCACAUUGCGCCCCCUGGUAUUCCGGGGGGCAUGCCUGUUCGAGCGUCAUUUCACCACUCAAGCCUCGCUUGGUAUUGGGCAACGCGGUCCGCCGCGUGCCUCAAAUCGACCGGCUGGGUCUUCUGUCCCCUAAGCGUUGUGGAAACUAUUCGCUAAAGGGUGUUCGGGAGGUUACGCCGUAAAACAACCCCAUUUCUAAGGUUGACCUCGGAUCAGGUAGGGAUACCCGCUGAACUUAAGCAUAUCAAUAAGCGGAGGA